rnacentral:rRNA from 1 species
GGACUACACGGGUAUCUAAUCCUGUUCGCUCCCCCAGCUUUCGUGCCUGAGCGUCAGAUGUCGGCCAGGGCGCUGCCUUCGCCGUCGGUGUUCCUCCGGAUCUCUACGCAUUUCACCGCUCCACCCGGAAUUCCACGCCCCUCUCCGACCCUCAAGCUCCGCCGUCUGCACGGCACCCUCCCAGUUGAGCCAGGAGAUUUCACCGCACACGCGCGAAGCCGCCUGCGCACCCUUUACGCCCAGUAACUCCGGACAACGCUCGUCUCCUACGUAUUACCGCGGCGGCUGGCAC